CGAACGCUGGCGGCGUGCUUAACACAUGCACGUCGAACGGAAAGGCCCUGCUUUUGUGGGGUGCUCGAGUGGCGAACGGGUGAGUAACACGUGAGUAACCUGCCCUUGACUUUGGGAUAACUUCAGGAAACUGGGGCUAAUACCGGAUAGGAGCUCCUGCUGCAUGGUGGGGGUUGGAAAGUUUCGGCGGUUGGGGAUGGACUCGCGGCUUAUCAGCUUGUUGGUGGGGUAGUGGCUUACCAAGGCUUUGACGGGUAGCCGGCCUGAGAGGGUGACCGGCCACAUUGGGACUGAGAUACGGCCCAGACUCCUACGGGAGGCAGCAGUGGGGAAUAUAGCACAAUGGGCGGAGGCCGGAUGCAGCAACGCCGCGUGGGGGAUGACGGCCUUCGGGUUGUAAACCGCUUUCGCCUGUGACGAAGCGUGAGUGACGGUAAUGGGGAAAGAAGCACCGGCUAACUAGGU
rnacentral:rRNA from 1 species